CUGAUGGCUCCGUUAAGUGAACUCCUCUAUUUUAUACACACAGCAGGUACAGCAAAGGCAACAGCAGUACAAGCUUCCCCCAUAUUGCCCCAUGUCAAGUGCCUCAGUCAUGACGUGAAGCGAGGCCCCUCUGGGAAUGGGAAGACAGAUCAGUCUCCAUCCCCGUUCUGGCUUUGAUCCCA
rnacentral:sRNA from 1 species